AGGAUUAACGCUGGCGGCGUGCCUAACACAUGCAAGUCGAACGAGGUAGCAAUACCUAGUGGCAGACGGGUGAGUAACGCGUGGUCAACCUACCGUUGAGUGGGGGAUAACUAGCCGAAAGGUUAGCUAAUACCGCAUACGUCUCCGAGGGGCAUCCCUUGGCGAUAAAAGGAGCAAUCCGCUCGAUGACGGGACCGCGUCCCAUUAGCUAGAUGGUGGGGUAACGGCCUACCAUGGCACCGAUGGGUAGCUGGUUUGAGAGAGCGACCAGCCACACUGGGACUGAGAAACGGCCCAGACUCCUACGGGAGGCAGCAGUGAGGAAUUUUCCGCAAUGGGCGCAAGCCUGACGGAGCGACGCCGCGUGUGGGAAGAAGGCCUUCGGUCGUAAACCACUGUCGAAGGGACGAUAAUGACGGUACCCUUGGAGGAAGCCCGGCUAACUACGUGCCAGCAGCCGC
rnacentral:rRNA from 1 species